UGCUGGUUGCCUGCGUGCACGGCCUGUGUGCACGGCGCCGCCGCGGUCUCCUGUUACGAGUCUCUCUCGUUGGGAGCUGCAGAGUCCGUUCCCAUCUCCCCUGUGACAAGGUACAAUUUUAUGCUAUGUUCUUAAACCAUUCUUCUUUUCAUGUACUAAUGUAUGUCCUGCUAGGAGUAGUAGUACCAACCGUAGUCUUCUUUGUCUGUACUCCAAAAUCUGAAAUAGGAUGGAGAGCAACAAUGAUACAGACGAGAGAGACUUGCUCACGGUAUGUGGACGAAUGGGACAGCAACGCGUCGCAACAUGUAUUAAAUGUACAGAUGGUCUGACAAUAUUAUACCUUGACGGCGUAGUGCAAUAUGACGACGCGGUCACGCCUACUGACGGUGCGGUCGGCCACGUGAACGGCGUGUGCGGUCGGAUGCAUGAUACACUUCUUAUUGAUACACUGGAGGCCUCGGGAUGAGGUAGCCGACAAGCCUUUGUGCGGGUCGGGGGAAGCAUGAUCUUAGCAUUCACGCUUGACUGCGGGCAAUGGUGGAUUCAGCAACGGGAGUGCCGCGACCUCGUUGGAUCUGGCCUCUAGCGCUUGGAUCUGCACUCGUGGCGGUGGCGCUGCGCUGUGGCGGCCCGGAUAGCUUUCCGGUGGCUGAGGCUGGUGGUUGGUCUGUGCGGUGGCGUACAUCGGAGUUGGUGCUGGGCGUGCACAUGAUGAGAGGAUUUACUAGAGUUAGAUUCAGCAUACCGGCCUACUAGAUUUAGCUGAAUCAUUCUAUCAACAUGUACACUAAUAAGGUAUGUGCUACGGGUUGUACUCUCGUUACAUUGCUUUAUCUUACUUUAAUUGUUGACUUCAUCUCAUGUUUGCCCGUUCCAUAGGAUUGUCAUGAAUCUGUUUUCCUUCAGUUUACAGGAGGGUGAUGUUAACGAUUUCAAGAACUUGAUAGCAGGGUAAGGGUAUAGCUAUUGGCCAUGCAGUAGCGCGAGGCUUGACAAACAUACUUGUUCUCUUGAUUGAACAUGACCAGGACCUAAAAUGAUUUUGAUUUGUGCUCUUGUAGGUUAAAUCAAUCUCUGUCAAUACGAAAUUGUCAUAGCUGAACAUGAUCAGGACCUCAAGAGGACAGGGUUAUUUAGAGUUUCAGAACUUGUACUUGGUAAAAGAAUCGAUAUGGUUGACUAGAGGGGGGGUGAAUAGGCAACUAACAAUUUUUAGCUUUUCUUUAACAAUUUAAACUUUGCAUCAAAGUAGGUUGUCUAGAUAUGCAACUAGGUGAGCAACCUAUAUGAUGCAACGAGUAUAGGAACACAAGCAAGCAAGUGAUAUGAUACAAAUAAGCUUGCACAAAUAAAGGC
rnacentral:lncRNA from 1 species